rnacentral:rRNA from 1 species
AUUGAACGCUGGCGGCAGGCCUAACACAUGCAAGUCGAACGGUAACAGGAAACAGCUUGCUGUUUCGCUGACGAGUGGCGGACGGGUGAGUAAUGUCUGGGAAACUGCCUGAUGGAGGGGGAUAACUACUGGAAACGGUAGCUAAUACCGCAUAACGUCGCAAGACCAAAGAGGGGGACCCUCGGGCCUCUUGCCAUCGGAUGUGCCCAGAUGGGAUUAGCUUGUUGGUGGGGUAACGGCUCACCAAGGCGACGAUCCCUAGCUGGUCUGAGAGGAUGACCAGCCACACUGGAACUGAGACACGGUCCAGACUCCUACGGGAGGCAGCAGUGGGGAAUAUUGCACAAUGGGCGCAAGCCUGAUGCAGCCAUGCCGCGUGUAUGAAGAAGGCCUUCGGGUUGUAAAGUACUUUCAGCGGGGAGGAAGGGAGUAAAGUUAAUACCUUUGCUCAUUGACGUUACCCGCAGAAGAAGCACCGGCUAACUCCGUGCCAGCAGCCGCGGUAAUACGGAGGGUGCAAGCGUUAAUCGGAAUUACUGGGCGUAAAGCGCACGCAGGCGGUUUGUUAAGUCAGAUGUGAAAUCCCCGGGCUCAACCUGGGAACUGCAUCUGAUACUGGCAAGCUUGAGUCUCGUAGAGGGGGGUAGAAUUCCAGGUGUAGCGGUGAAAUGCGUAGAGAUCUGGAGGAAUACCGGUGGCGAAGGCGGCCCCCUGGACGAAGACUGACGCUCAGGUGCGAAAGCGUGGGGAGCAAACAGGAUUAGAUACCCUGGUAGUCCACGCCGUAAACGAUGUCGACUUGGAGGUUGUGCCCUUGAGGCGUGGCUUCCGGAGCUAACGCGUUAAGUCGACCGCCUGGGGAGUACGGCCGCAAGGUUAAAACUCAAAUGAAUUGACGGGGGCCCGCACAAGCGGUGGAGCAUGUGGUUUAAUUCGAUGCAACGCGAAGAACCUUACCUGGUCUUGACAUCCACGGAAGUUUUCAGAGAUGAGAAUGUGCCUUCGGGAACCGUGAGACAGGUGCUGCAUGGCUGUCGUCAGCUCGUGUUGUGAAAUGUUGGGUUAAGUCCCGCAACGAGCGCAACCCUUAUCCUUUGUUGCCAGCGGUCCGGCCGGGAACUCAAAGGAGGCUGCCAGUGAUAAACUGGAGGAAGGUGGGGAUGACGUCAAGUCAUCAUGGCCCUUACGACCAGGGCUACACACGUGCUACAAUGGCGCAUACAAAGAGAAGCGACCUCGCGAGAGCAAGCGGACCUCAUAAAGUGCGUCGUAGUCCGGAUUGGAGUCUGCAACUCGACUCCAUGAAGUCGGAAUCGCUAGUAAUCGUGGAUCAGAAUGCCACGGUGAAUACGUUCCCGGGCCU